GCGAGUACCGAGUGCUCUUCCGUUUAGACUUGUGACUGACUUGAGCUGUGACAGUUGAUCCAGGCAGUUUGUCCGCACGCUUCAAGUACAUCUCGUAGUCAGUCAGUUUAUCAUAGAGAUCUUCAAAAGAGACUGGCGAGUCGCAUGCCCGAAUUGCAGCAGCCAAUUCCUUGUAGUCGGUGUCGAGACCAUUGAGGGUAUGAAUGACAACCUCUUCGUCACAUAG
rnacentral:lncRNA from 1 species